GUGGCUGAGUGUUAAAGCGCUCGGCUUCUGAACCGGAGAGUUCCGGGUUCGAAUCCUGGC
rnacentral:tRNA from 1 species